GAUGAAGAACGCAGCGAAAUGCGAUAAGUAAUGUGAAUUGCAGAAUUCAGUGAAUCAUCGAAUCUUUGAACGCACCUUGCGCUCCUUGGUAUUCCGAGGAGCAUGCCUGUUUGAGUGUCAUUUAAUUCUCAAUCUCUACAAACUUGUGUUGUUAGUAGAUUGGAGGUGGGGGCUUUGUGGGUGUAUUUAAGAUAUCCACUCCCCUAAAAACCAUUAGCUGGAAUGCCUUUGCAAAACCAACUAUCGGUAUGAUAAUUAUCUACGCUGAUGUUGUUGUGAAGGGGAUCUGCUUUCAAACCGUCGUUUCUCGACACUUUGAAUCCAUUUGACCUCAAAUCAGGUAGGACUACCCGCUGAACUUAAGCAUAUCAAUAAGCGGAGGA
rnacentral:misc_RNA from 1 species